rnacentral:rRNA from 1 species
GCUAAGCCCUAAACAUUGAUAGUAAUUAUUACAAUACUUUCCGCCAGAGAACUACAAGUGAAAAACUUGAAACUCAAAGGACUUGACGGUGUCCCAUAUCGACCUAGAGGAGCCUGUCCUAUAAUCGAUACCCCCCGUUCCACCCAACCCCAACUAGCAAAAUAUCAGCCUAUAUACCGCCGUCGACAGUCUACCCCAUGAGGGUUCAACAGUAGACACAAUAGCCUUAACGCUAAUACGUCAGGUCAAGGUGUAGCAAAUGUUGAGGAAAAGAUUGGCUACAUUUUUUAUGAUAAAAAACACGAAUUGCACUAUGAAACACUGCAUGAAGGUGAAUUUAGUAGUAAAACAGACAAGAGUGUCUGUUUUAACAACGCUCUGGGACGCGU